CCUACGGGUGGCUGCAGUGGGGGAUAUUGCACAAUGGGGGAAACCCUGAUGCAGCGACGCCGCGUGUGGGAAGACGGUCCUCUGGAUUGUAAACCACUGUUCCCAGGGACGAAAAUGACGGUACCUGGGGAGGUAGCUCCGGCUAACUACGUGCCAGUCGCCGAGGUACUAGGCAGGAGGCGCGGGUUGUCGGGAUUUACUGGUUUUAACGGGAGCGUAGGGGGGGAUGAAAGUUGGUGGGAAAAACUAACGUCUAAUCUGGUAGUCGCAGUUGAAACUGGAGCUCUUGAGUGAAGUAGAGGCAGGCGGAAUGCGUGGUGUAGCGGUGAAAUGCGUAGAUAUUAGGAGGAACUCCGGUUGCGAAGGCAGCCUGCUGGGCUUUAACUGACGCUGAGGCUCGAAAGUGUGGGGAUCAAACAGGAUUAGAUACCCUUGUAGUC
rnacentral:rRNA from 1 species